rnacentral:rRNA from 1 species
GCUUGCGAGGGCGUAUGGUGGAUGCCUUGGCAGACAGUACCGAUGAAGGACGUUUGAGGAUGCGAUAAUCCUAGGGGAGCCUCCAACAUGGCUUUGAUCCUAGGGUCUCCGAAUGGGGGAACCCGCCGGCCGUCAUGGGCCGGCACCGCCUAUGGGCGGGGGGUACGCAGGGAAGUGAAACAUCUCAGUACCUGCAGGAAGGGAUACUCCGUGAGUAGUGGCGAGCGAAAGCGGAUCAGACCAAACCGGUUGCGCGUGAUACCCGUCGGGGGUUGCGUUGCCGGUGUCGUGGGAUCACGUGUCCCGGUUCCGACGGGCCGGGCGGGAGUCAUAAAACGGCUUGCCAGGGGAACAGGCUUGAAGGCCUGGCCGUAGAGGGUGCCAGCCCCGUACCUGGACGUGAGCCGUCUUCCGAUCGUGUUGUCCCAAGUAGCGCGGGCCUCGUGGAAUCCCGCGUGAAUCAGCCCAGACCGUUGGGUAAGUCUAAGCAUACCUGUCUGACCGAUAGCGUACCAGUACCGUGAGGGAAAGGUGAAAAGCACCCCGGGAGGGGAGUGAAACAGUUCCUGAAACCGUGCGCCUACAAUCCGUCGGAGCCUCCUUGUGGGGUGACGGCGUGCCUAUCGAAAAAUGAGUCUGCGAGUCAGUGGUGCGUGGCGAGGCUAACCCGUCGUGGGGGAGCCGUAGCGAAGGCGAGUCUCAAAAGGCGUUUUGAGUCGCGUGCCCUGGACCCGAAGCGGGAUGAUCUAGCCCUGGGCAGGUUGAAGCGCGGGUAAGACCGCGUGGAGGACCGAACCCACC